UACGUAGGGUGCAAGCGUUUAUCCGGAAUUAUUGGGCGUAAAGAGCUCGUAGGCGGUUUGUCGCGUCUGCCGUGAAAGUCCGGGGCUCAACCCCGGAUCUGCGGUGGGUACGGGCAGACUAGAGUGAUGUAGGGGAGACUGGAAUUCCUGGUGUAGCGGUGAAAUGCGCAGAUAUCAGGAGGAACACCGAUGGCGAAGGCAGGUCUCUGGGCAUUAACUGACGCUGAGGAGCGAAAGCAUGGGGAGCGAACAGG
rnacentral:rRNA from 1 species